rnacentral:rRNA from 1 species
AGUGAACGCUGGCGGUAGGCCUAACACAUGCAAGUCGAACGGCAGCACAGAGGAGCUUGCUCCUUGGGUGGCGAGUGGCGGACGGGUGAGGAAUACAUCGGAAUCUACUCUGUCGUGGGGGAUAACGUAGGGAAACUUACGCUAAUACCGCAUACGACCUACGGGUGAAAGCAGGGGAUCUUCGGACCUUGCGCGAUUGAAUGAGCCGAUGUCGGAUUAGCUAGUUGGCGGGGUAAAGGCCCACCAAGGCGACGAUCCGUAGCUGGUCUGAGAGGAUGAUCAGCCACACUGGAACGGAGACACGGUCCAGACUCCGACGUGAGGCAGCAGUGGGGAAUAUUGGACAAUGGGCGCAAGCCUGAUCCAGCCAUACCGCGUGGGUGAAGAAGGCCUUCGGGUUGUAAAGCCCUUUUGUUGGGAAAGAAAUCCAUCUGGUUAAUACCCGGGUGGGAUGACGGUACCCAAAGAAUAAGCACCGGCUAACUUCGUGCCAGCAGCCGCCGUAA